UCAGGAUGAACGCUGGCGGCAGGCUUAAUACAUGCAAGUCGAACGGUAACGACCGGUAGCAAUACUGGGGCGACGAGUGGCGCACGGGUGCGUAACGCGUAUGCAACCUGCCUUCAACCGGGACAUAACGUCGAGAAAUUGGCGCUAAUAUCCCAUGUGUAUGUGAUGCGGCAUCGUAUUACAUAUAAAGAUUUAUUGGUUGAGGAUGGGCAUGCGUAACAUUAGCUAGUUGGCGGGGUAACGGCCCACCAAGGCGACGAUGUUUAGGGGUUCUGAGAGGAUUCACCCCCACACUGGAACUGAGACACGGUCCAGACUCCUACGGGAGGCAGCAGUAGGGAAUAUUGGGCAAUGGAGGCAACUCUGACCCAGCCAUGCCGCGUGAAGGAAAAGACGGCCCUAUGGGUUGUAAACCUCUUUUGCCGCAGAGUAACCGCGGGGACGUGUCCCUGCCUGAGAGUAUGCGGCGAAUAAGUAUCGGCUAACUCCGUGCCAGCAGCUGC
rnacentral:rRNA from 1 species